UAGAAAGAGUUGGCUCAACUCAA
rnacentral:piRNA from 1 species